GCGGAUAUGGUGCACGGUGCACCGCUGCAUUUCAUGUGGGGUAAGGAAAAACAAAAUUGAAGCAGCUACCCGGGGUUCGAGUCCCCUCGUCCGCG